rnacentral:rRNA from 1 species
ACUGAACGCUGGCGGCAGGCCUAACACAUGCAAGUCGAACGAGUGGCGGACGGGCGAGCAAUGUCUGGGAAACUGCCUGAUGGAGGGGGAUAACCACUGGAAACGGUAGCUAAUACCGCAAACCAUCGGAUGUGCCCAGGUGGGACUAGCUAGUAGGUGGGGUAAAGGCUCACCUAGGCGUCGAUCCCUAGCCGGUCUGAGAGGAUGACCAGCCAGACUGGGCCUGCGGGACGGUCCAGACUCCUGCGGGAGGCAACAGUGGGGAAUAUUGCACAAUGGGCGCAAGCCUAAGGCAGCCAUGCCGCGUGUAUGAAGAAGGCCUUCGGGUUGUAAAGUACUUUCAGCGGGGAGACGUUACCCGAAGAAGAAGCACCGGCUAACUCCGUGCCAGCAGCCGCGGUAAUUC